AAUGAACGCUGGCGGCAUGCCUUACACAUGCAAGUCGAACGGCAGCAUGACCUCUCUUGCUAGGUUGAUGGCGAGUGGCGAACGGGUGAGUAAUGCAUCGGAACGUGCCUUUUAUUGGGGGAUAACUUAGCGAAAGUUACGCUAAUACCGCAUAUUCUCUGAGGAGUAAAGCAGGGGACCUUCGGGCCUUGCUCUCGUAUAGCGGCCGAUGUCGUAUUAGCUAGUUGGUUAGGUAAAGGCUCACCAAGGCAACGAUCCGUAGCGGGUCUGAGAGGAGGAUCAGCAAGACGGGGACGGAGACACGGCACAGACACCUACGGGAGGGAGCAGGGGGGAAUGUUGGACAAUGGGGGGAAGCCGGAUCCAGCCAUGCCGCGUGAGUGAAGAAGGCCUUCGGGUUGUAAAGCUCUUUCGGCUGGGAAGAAAUAGCACCCUCUAAUACAGGGUGUGGAUGACGGUACCAGCAAAAGAAGCACCGGCUAACUACGUG
rnacentral:rRNA from 1 species